rnacentral:rRNA from 1 species
CAGCAGCCGCGGUAAUACGGAGGGUGCAAGCGUUAAUCGGAAUUACUGGGCGUAAAGCGCACGCAGGCGGUCUGACAAGUCAGAUGUGAAAUCCCCGGGCUUAACCUGGGAACUGCAUUUGAAACUGUCAGGCUGGAGUCUUGUAGAGGGGGGUGGAAUUCCAGGUGUAGCGGUGAAAUGCGUAGAGAUCUGGAGGAAUACCGGUGGCGAAGGCGGCCCCCUGGACAAAGACUGACGCUCAGGUGCGAAAGCGUGGGGAGCAAACAGGAUUAGAUACCCGUGUAGUCCCUGUCUCUUAUAC